AAUGCCACCGCAGUCGUCGACACGUGACCGUGACGUCACUCGCGCGUCUCUUCAGGCGGCUGGCUCCCCGCGAUUGUAAUCGCGGGUGGUAGCUGUUUCCCUGCUUGUCGCUAGUGCUGUUUCGGCCUUACAGCCCGAAACGUGACGGCGACACCAUGUACCACAGCAGCAGCCAGAAGCGGCACUGGACCUUCUCUGGCGAGGAGCAGCUGGCGCGACUGCGGGCCGACGCCAACCGCAAAUUCAAGUGCAAAGCGGUGGCUAAUGGGAAGGUUCUUCCAAAUGAUCCAGUGUUUCUUGAGCCUCAUGAAGAAAUGACACUUUGCAAAUACUAUGAGAAAAGGUUAUUGGAAUUUUGUUCAGUGUUUAAACCAGCAAUGCCUCGAUCUGUUGUGGGUACAGCUUGUAUGUAUUUCAAGCGUUUCUAUCUUAAUAAUUCAGUAAUGGAAUAUCACCCCCGGAUAAUAAUGCUCACUUGUGCAUUUCUGGCCUGCAAAGUCGAUGAAUUCAAUGUGUCUAGUCCUCAGUUUGUUGGGAAUCUUCGAGAGAGUCCCCUUGGACAGGAAAAGGCACUGGAACAGAUUUUGGAAUAUGAACUACUACUUAUACAGCAACUUAAUUUUCACCUUAUUGUCCACAAUCCUUAUAGACCAUUUGAAGGCUUCCUAAUUGACAUAAAGACUCGAUACCCCAUGUUGGAGAAUCCAGAGAUUUUGAGGAAAACAGCUGAUGAUUUUCUUAGUAGAAUUGCACUGACAGAUGCUUAUCUUUUGUACACACCUUCACAAAUUGCCCUGACUGCCAUUUUGUCAAGCGCCUCUAGGGCUGGAAUUACCAUGGAAAGCUAUUUAUCAGAGAGUCUGUUGCUGAGAGAAAACAGAACUUGUCUGUCACAGUUGCUGGAAAUAAUGAAAAGCAUGAGAAAUCUAGUAAAAAAGUAUGAGCCACCCAGAUCUGAAGAAAUUGCUGUUCUGAAACAAAAGUUGGAGCGGUGUCAUUCUGCUGACCUUGCACUUAAUGUGGUGACGAAGAAGAGGAAAGGCUAUGAAGAUGAUGACUAUAUAUCAAAGAAACCCAAACAGGAAGAGGAGGAAUGGACUGAUGAUGACCUGAUAGAUUCUCUCUAACCAUUGGAAAUGACUACAGCAGUGCUAACCAACAGAAAUCACUAAAUUUGGCAUCAGGGCAAGGUUCACAUUUAUCUCUGAAAAUUUCCUUCCCAGCCCCAUUAAAAAAGAAUAAGUUUGAACGAUUUUAUUUAUUUCAUCAGUGACCACCUAGUUAUUUAAAUACAGGGUCCAUGAGGAGAAUUCUGUUCAGCUCAGAUGCCCCUCAACUGAAGAAUGGCUGCAGAAAUUGUGGUACAUCUACACAUGGAAUAUUACUCAGCAAUGAAAAAUAAGGAAA